rnacentral:rRNA from 1 species
UUUAUGGAGAGUUUGAUCCUGGCUCAGGAUGAACGCUGGCGGCGUGCCUAAUACAUGCAAGUCGAGCGAACAGAUAAGGAGCUUGCUCCUUUGACGUUAGCGGCGGACGGG